CGUGCCCUCACUCGCGCCUCUUUUCAUCUCUUGCGGCCGACGCCGGCCCUAACUGUCCGCGGCAGUUCCUUUCCUCUCCCCAUCGCACCGACUUCUUCUUCCUCCCCCCGAGUCGAACUCCUCUCCUCUUCUGCCCUAGCCUUUGCACAGCGUCACCGCUGCCCUCUCUGGACCGAAGCAGCGCCGGCCACCGCGACUCCCUCCUUUCUUCUUCCCGAGACCUUGCCGGCCACUAGGUUCGACCUAGCGCCACCGCCCCUCUCCGAUCUCCUCUGUGUCGGCCUCCUCCACACCGUGCCCUAAUUCCCCGAUCUCCUCUCAUCAGAGUCGAGCCUUCCUCACAGCGACUCGUGCCCUAGAUCACCGGGGAUAGGGAGUGUGCGCCGAGGACAAGGUUGAUCACCAAGUUCUAUCGUGCCAUCUACAAACCCUUCUUUGGUCCGGUGCCACCAGAUUGAGUCAGUGCCUUCUUCCGUGCUUCCACGCGAUAAUGGAUCUGUGCCAUCAUUGGUCCUUGCACUGUUGACACUUAUCUGUGUGAGGCAAGGUUUUGUUCUGUGGGAUUUCUGGUAGAAAUUCCCUCCAGUAGCACCUGGUUUCCACAGCGACUGUGAUUUGAGGGUUUUGACGCGAGACGAGUAUCUCGAUUACCGGAUUGGACCACUUUAU